CUUUCUGCUGAGCUUAUGCAAAACAUAAUUUGUAAAGAUUCUCAGCUUGUCCAAAGGUGUCCUGCAUUCCUGACUACUUACACCAGCAGCUGCAGGAAGGUACCCUCAGCUUCCUUUUGCUUCUGUUGACUGAGCAAAAGGCAUUGUGUGCUCAUACUUAUUCCAAAGAAUGUAUUUGCUGAAUGAACUGCUGGUUGUUGUCAAAGUGAGUAACAUCUAAAAUCUUCCUGUUCUACUGUCAGUCAGGGAAUUAAUAGAGAUUAUUACUUUUCUAUGCCCUCCCACUUACUGGUUACCACAACAGCUGUAAUACCUUUGGGAACUCACAUUCCCAAAGUAAGUAGAACUAAGUCACUGUAUUAAAAUUUAAGGGAAUACAGUCAUAAGACAAUUUGGAGUUGGGGAAUUUUACUUGAGGUAAUUUAUUGUGAACAAACAUGAAUUUCUGAUAGCUCUUUUGAGUGUUAAUAAUAGUAAGAUGAUGAGCAGUUAGACACACACUUGCAUGAACAACUGAUCCUCCUUCUGGCCUGGUCUAAUCAGGUACAGACAAUUCCUAA
rnacentral:lncRNA from 1 species